GCCUGGCUGGCUCAAUGGGAAGAGAAUGUGACUCUUGAUCUCAGGGCUGUGAGUUCAAGCCCCACGUUGGGUC
rnacentral:tRNA from 1 species